rnacentral:rRNA from 1 species
UACAGGGGGGGCAAGCGUUGUUCGGAAUUACUGGGCGUAAAGGGUUCGUAGGUGGCCACCUAAGUCAGACGUGAAAUCCCUCAGCUUAACUGGGGAACUGCGUCUGAUACUGGGUGGCUUGAGUGCAGGAGAGGAAUGCGGAAUUCCAGGUGUAGCGGUGAAAUGCGUAGAUAUCUGGAGGAACAUCAGUGGCGAAAGCGGCUUCCUGGACCAGUACCGACGUUCAGGCACGAAAGCGUGGGGAGCAAACAGG